CAGUCGAGAAUUUUUCUCAAUGGGGGAGACCCUGAAGGAGCGACGCCGCGUGGAGGAUGAAGGUCUUCGGAUUGUAAACUCCUGUCAUUAGGGAACAAUGUGCGGUUGUUAACUGCAAUCGUAUUGAUAGUACCUGAAGAGGAAGAGACGGCUAACUCUGUGCCAGCAGCCGCGGUAAUACAGAGGUCUCAAGCGUUGUUCGGAUUCAUUGGGCGUAAAGGGUGCGUAGGUGGCGCUGUAAGUCAGGUGUGAAAUCUCGGGGCUCAACCCCGAAACUGCACUUGAUACUGCGGUGCUUGAGUACUGGAGAGGAGAUUGGAAUUUACGGUGUAGCAGUGAAAUGCGUAGAUAUCGUAAGGAAGACCAGUGGCGAAGGCGAAUCUCUGGACAGUUACUGACACUGAGGCACGAAGGCUAGGGGAGCAAACAGGAUUAGA
rnacentral:rRNA from 1 species